CAGUAGCCGCGGGAAUACGAAGGGGGCUAGCGUUACUCGGAAUUACUGGGCGUAAAGGGAGCGUAGGCGGAUCGUUUAGUCAGGGGUGAAAUCCCGGGGCUCAACCUCGGAACUGCCUUUGAUACUGGCGAUCUUGAGUAUGGGAGAGGUGUGUGGAACUCCGAGUGUAGAGGUGAAAUUCGUAGAUAUUCGGAAGAACACCAGUGGCGAAGGCGACACACUGGCCCAUUACUGACGCUGAGGCUCGAAAGCGUUGGGAGCAAACAGGAUUAGAUACCCGGGUAGUCCCUGUCUCUUUACA
rnacentral:rRNA from 1 species